rnacentral:rRNA from 1 species
CCUACGGGAGGCAGCAGUGAGGAAUAUUGGUCAAUGGCCGAGAGGCUGAACCAGCCAAGUCGCGUGAGGGAAGACUGCCCUAUGGAUUGUAAACCUCUUUUGUCAGGGAGCAAAGUCACCCACGUGUGGGUGUUGGAGAGUACCUGAAGAAUAAGCAUCGGCUAACUCCGUGCCAGCAGCCGCGGUAAUACGGAGGAUGCGAGCGUUAUCCGGAUUUAUUGGGUUUAAAGGGUGCGUAGGCGGGUUAUCAAGUCAGCGGUAAAAUCGUGGAGCUCAACUCCAUCCAGCCGUUGAAACUGAUGGUCUUGAGUGGGCGAGAAGUAUGCGGAAGGCGUGGUGUAGCGGUGAAAUGCAUAGAUAUCACGCAGAACUCCGAUUGCGAAGGCAGCAUACCGGCGCCCGACUGACGCUGAAGCACGAAAGCGUGGGUAUCGAACAGGAUUAGAUACCCUUGUAGUC